AGUUUGAUUCUGGCUCAGAUUGAACGCUUCGGCGGAGCGUUCUUUACGACAUGGUGCCCAGAAAACAUGUUAGGACUUCAGUCUGCGGCGAGUAUAAACGGGUGAGUAAUGUAUCGGAACGUGCCUAGUAGCGGGGGAUAACUACGCGAAAGCGUAGCUAAUACCGCAUACGCCCUUCGGGGGAAAGCGGGGGACCUUCGGGCCUCGCACUGACAGAGCGGCCGAUAUCGGAUUAGCUAGUUGGUGGGGUAACGGCUCACCAAGGCGACGAUCCGUAGCUGGUUUGAGAGGACGACCAGCCACACUGGGACUGGAGACACGGCCCAGACUCCUACGGGAGGCAGAGAAAGGAAUUGAUAAUGGGGAAACCGUAUCCAGCCAUCCCGCGUGUGCGAUGAAGGCCUUCGGGUUGUAAAGCACUUACAGCAGGGGAGGAAACGGCACGGGAUAUCACCCCGUGCAACUGACGGUACCUGCAGAAUAAGCACCGGCUAACUACGUGCCAGCAGCCGCGGUAAUACGUAGGGUGCAAGCGUUAAUCGGAAUUACUGGGCGUAAAAGCGUGCGCAGGCGGUUCGGAAAGAAAGAUGUGAAAUCCCAGAGCUUAACUUUUGGAACUGCGUUUUUAACUACCGAGCUAGAGUGGGUUAUCAGAGGGAGGUGGAAUUAUGUAGUAAAGGAAAUGCGUAGAUAUGCGGAGGAACACCGAUGGCGAAGGCAGCCUCCUGGGAUAACACUGACGCUCAUGCACGAAAGCGUGGGGAGCAAACAGGAUUAGAUACCCGGUAGUCCAUUGCCCAAACGAUGUCAACUAGCUGUUGGGGCCUUCGGGCUCGGUAGCGUUAAAGCAUAACGCGUGAAGUUGACCGCCUGUAUGGCCGCAAGAUUAAAACCUAAAGGAAUUGAUUGGGGACCCGCACAAGCGGUGGAUGAUGUGGAUUAAUUCGAUGCAACGCGAAAACCUUACCUACCCUUGACAUGUUCAAAUCCCGAAGAGAUUUGGGAGUGCUCGCAAGAGAACCGGAACACAGGUGCUGGUAUGGCUGCUGCUCGCUCGUGUCGUGAGAUGUUGGGUUAAGUCCUGCAACGAGCGCAACCCUUGUCAUUAGUUGCUACGAAAGGGCACUCUAAUGAGACUGCCGGUGACAAACCGAGAAGGUGGAUGACGUCAAGUCCUUCAUGGCCUUUAUGGGUAGGGCUUCACACGUCAUACAAUGGUCGGGACACAGAGGGUCGCCAACCCGCGAGGGGGAGCCAAUCCCAGAAACCCGAUCGUGGUCCGGAUCGCAGUCUGCAACUCGACUGCGUGAAGUCGGAAUCGCUAGUAAUCGCGGAUCUGGCAUGUUUGCGUGAAUACGUUCCCGGGUCUUGUACACACCGCCCGUCACACCAUGGGAGUGGGUUUUACCAGAAGUAGUUAGCCUAACCGUAAGAGGCGAUUACCAGAAUGGCAGGGAUCUGCUGACUGGAAGGAAGUCGCAUUAAGGUGUG
rnacentral:rRNA from 1 species